UAAGGGCGCCUCUCUGCAGUGUGCUGCUGGGCUGGACACCCUUAGGGACAGAGUGCUGUUAACAAGAACUCCGAGAGCAUCUGUUCUUGUUAUCAAUCCCGCAUUGACGGCUGGAAUAGGAACAACCAGCGCUGGAACACUUGUGAGAGAAACUUGCCCCCCGUCGCUGAUGUUAUAAAACAUGCAGGCGAAAAGCUCAAAGGUGUCAGAUGUGCCUGAACUCUUACCAGAGGACAGAGAUGAACCUGAGAGGCUGGAGUUACUGGAUGCUGCCAUC